rnacentral:rRNA from 1 species
GACGAACGCUGGCGGCGUGCUUAACACAUGCAAGUCGAACGAUGAAGCUAGAGCUUGCUCUGGUGAAUUAGUGGCGAACGGGUGAGUAACACGUGAGUAACCUGCCCCGAACUCUGGGAUAACUGCUGGAAACGGUAGCUAAUACUGGAUACGACCUACGAAGGCAUCUUCUGUAGGUGGAAAGAAUUUCGGUUCGGGAUGGACUCGCGGCCUAUCAGCUUGUUGGUGAGGUAAUGGCUCACCAAGGCGACGACGGGUAGCCGGCCUGAGAGGGUGACGGGCCACACUGGGGCUGAGACACGGCCCAGACUCCUACGGGAGGCAGCAGUGGGGAAUAUUGCACAAUGGGCGCAAGCCUGAUGCAGCAACGCCGCGUGAGGGAUGACGGCCUUCGGGUUGUAAACCUCUUUUAGUAGGGAAGAAGCGAAAGUGACGGUACCUGCAGAAAAAGCACCGGCUAACUACGUGCCAGCCGCCGCGGUAA